rnacentral:tRNA from 1 species
GGGCGUUUAGCUCAGCCGGGAGAGCGCCUGCCUUACAAGCAGGAGGUCGGCGGUUCGAUCCCGCCAGCGCCCA